rnacentral:rRNA from 1 species
AUUGAACGCUGGCGGCAUGCUUUACACAUGCAAGUCGAACGGCAGCGCGGGCUUCGGCCUGGCGGCGAGUGGCGAACGGGUGAGUAAUACAUCGGAACGUGCCCAGUAGUGGGGGAUAGCUCGGCGAAAGCCGGAUUAAUACCGCAUACGACCUGAGGGUGAAAGCGGGGGAUCUUCGGACCUCGCGCUAUUGGAGCGGCCGAUGGCAGAUUAGCUAGUUGGUGGGGUAAAGGCCUACCAAGGCGACGAUCUGUAGCUGGUCUGAGAGGACGACCAGCCACACUGGGACUGAGACACGGCCCAGACUCCUACGGGAGGCAGCAGUGGGGAAUUUUGGACAAUGGGCGAAAGCCUGAUCCAGCAAUGCCGCGUGUGUGAUGAGGGCCUUCGGGUUGCAAAGCACUUUUGGCGGGAACGAAAAGGACUGUGCCAAUACCACGGUUCGAUGACGGUACCCGCAGAAUAAGCACCGGCUAACUACGUG